GGCCAGCCAUGCUCCAGGGUAGCUGAGGGGAUGGUAGACCGGUGACGUGCACUUCAUUUACGAUGUAGGUCACCCGUUUCACUAUCCGUCGGCACCCGGUCCAUCUGUGGGAUGACG
rnacentral:precursor_RNA from 13 species